UCUGUUCUGUUCUGUUGUUUCUUCAAUGCUCUUUAUGUUCCUUUUGUUCUUUUUGUUCUGUUCUGUUCUGCUCUGUUCUUUCUUAAAUGUUCUUUUCUGUUAUUUUUGUCCAUUUCUGUCUUGUUUUUCUUCAGAGUUUUUGUUUUGUUUUGAUAUUUCAUUUUCCCUGUGUACAGCGUGCACGCUGGUCCGUCUGUUCACCUUUUAUUUGUUGUUGUUUUGGUGUUACAUUUUUGUGGCAGAGUCGAAGAAGAGGCGGAAAAAAAAGGUAGAGGCAGAGCAACCAAGGACGAAUCCUUAUUCCAGGCAUUGAGUUGAUCUUCUCCUGCAUAGCUAAUUCAUUUGUAUUUUCUAUCAAGUGCAAAUCCCAUGGAGAGGUCCUGUUGAACUCCUAGUAUGACAGCUUGGUUUUCAGGAUCAGUAUCUGGAAACCAGUACAAGCCUUCCCACAUCAGCUUCACUGUAUGGGCUGGAAGAGAACACACAGCUCAAUGGGUUUAAGAUUCUUUCAAAUGAAGCUUAUGCCCUUUAUACAACUGAUAUUGAUGUCAGUAAUGUAAAUGUUUCCCAUGGAUUUGAGAAAGGGAGGUUCGGCAUGGUGUUCUAUCGAUGAAUAGCUAUAAGAUGGAUACCUUUUAUACAGGCAAUAAGCUAACAUACAAGGAUAUUGGGGGUUUGCUGAACUUCUACUUCUUUGCAGGUUCGUCUCCAUUAGAUAUGGUUCAACAGUUCAUUGAGCUCAUAGGACAUACAGCUGCAAUGCAUGUUGGGUUUCUGAAUACAUAUCUGUAGAUAAAACACUUCAGAUUCGGACGACCAUUUUUCUCAAUCUUCCAAUAGGAAUGAAUGUUUUGAUUUGUUUCCACUCAUGGUUAUUUUCAGGCAUGAGAUGCAGAACCCAGCAAGUGUUCAUAUAACCAAUGCAAAGAAGAAGAAAUUAGAAGUUCUUUAUGACCUACUUGGUAGUUCACAAGUAGCUUCUCUAAGGCAACGAGUAGCUCACAUAGCUAACCCAGUGUUUGAAUUCUCUGUGUUUUUAGGCACAACUAAUCCAUUUGGAUUUACUAUCAAGCACAGAUCCCAUGGAUUUUCUAUUCAACUCCUCAUAUGGGAUUGUGCACGGAGAUGUGAAGCCAACCAAUGUACUAAUGGACGAUCACAUGGAGGCUCGGAUAUCUCAUUUUCUCUUAGCCAAACUCAUGGAGAGGGAAGCUACCAUGUUCUCCAAAGCAUACACCGCAACAGUGAAACUUGAUUGCAUUGAGACCAAAAACAUCUGGAGCUUUCUCACCUCUAUGAUAAGCCAUGCUUUUUGGGAUCGCUAGCUGUUCAGGCUCCUCAAGUCCCCAAUCAACAGAUAAAUGUUAUGGUGGAGGAGAGCACAAUGGCCAAUGCUGGCAUUUCUAGAUUCACAUUAACCAGAUAAGACAGAGCCUCCUUAUCCUUCUCAUUGUAUAGAAAACCCUGUUCGAGGAUCCUUGAAUGGUUGGAGGAUAACUCAAAUAUAGUCAUUAAACGUAAGGAUUGCAUCAAUGGCUCCAAUACAUUUCUUGAUAUUCAACAGGAUGAGGCAGAAAAAAGGAAGAGGCAGAGCUACCGAGAGCAACUUCAAACUGGCAUGAUAAAAUUUGUAAAUCUUCAGGCAAUGAAUCGAUCUUCUCCAGCAUAGCUAAUCCAUUGGGAUUUUCUAUCAAGCACAAAUCCCAUGCAGAGGACUGUAAUCCUGUGGUUGUGCAUGGAGAUGUGAAGCCAACCAAUGUACUAAUGGAUGGUCACAUGGAGGCCCAGAUGGCUGAUUUUGGCUUAGCCAGACUCAUGCAUAGGGAAGUCACCAUGUGCUCCAGCGCAUACACUACACUUGGCUCCUCAAGUACCCAAUCAACAGCUAAAUGUUAUGAUGGAGGAGAGCACAAGGGAAUUUAGUGCUCGAAAAUGGCCAAUGCUGUCAUUUCUAGACACACAUUGUAUAGAAGGAACUGCUGAAGAAAACCUUCUUGUAGCUAUUGAAUCAUUUUAGCAUCCUAGGAUAAAUUGUAAGAUUUCAGCAUAUUAAAUUACAUUUUUAUUUGUAACACUUGACAGCCCUUGAAUGGUUGGAGGAUGCCCAAAUGGUUUAUUAGUAGCAUACAAAAGGUUGGCUCCAAUACAUUUGCUGAUUUGGGUGAGAGCCAACGAUAUUCAACAGCCAACAAUUCUAGUUCACGAUCAAGAGAUGUUGGGUAGUGUUGCACCUAGGCUGAAUUUUGACCAGGCAUCCAAAACACUGGUACUUGUAGCAGGCAUAUGUAGAAAGGUUGCUAUUGUAAUAUUAAGAUGAAGGUGAAAAACACAGGGAAAAUUCUUCUGUUUGUGAUGUGUAUCACACUUGUUCCCAUUAAGGGCAGCCCAUUAAACAAUGUGAAUACGAGGGAAAUCACUGCAAUACCUCAACACAGUUAAUUUUAGUUGUAUGAUUCUCCAUUCCAUUUUUUACCCCUCAUUCUAAUAAUUAAACUCAUGAAUUUGCAUUGAGAAUAAUGGGUACUAUGGUGUAUCUGAUAACUACACGAGGGACUUUUGCUGCUGAAGAUCCACCACCUCUCCCACAAAUUACUGGGCAACACCCACUGAUCCCAAUCCUCAGACUGAAUUCUGUACCUGCAUACAGCAACAAUGCCCCAUUGGGCUUCUGCGAGACCAGAAACAUCAGGAGCUUGCUCACCUCUUUGAUAAGCCAUGCUUUUUGGAAUCGCUAGCUGUUCAGGCUCCCCAAGUCCCCAAUCAACAGAUAAAUGUUAUGGUGGAGGAGAGCACGAUGGCCAUUUCUAGACACACAUUGUUCAGAUAAGACAGAGCCUCCUUAUCCUCAUUGUAUAGAAAACCCUG